rnacentral:lncRNA from 1 species
GGGGAAGGCCAUAGAAAGGACCGGCGAAUGCUGGCGUUGAUGUGUGUUAUUUUAAUAUUUCUGAAAUCCUGUUGUUAGUCUGCACACCUUGUCCGAGGCUCCGAUGUUAUCCAGGUGAUUCAUCAUUUAAUGCUGUUGGCUUCAACAUGGAUUUAAUGGUAACGAAACCAAGUGCACACUAUGUGAAGAUCUAUUCACUUGGAGGUCCUUCAUUUCAGGUCACCAGGUAUGCCCCUGGGCUCCUGCCGCAGCUGAUCGGGUGCUAGGUGCUGAGGAUACACGUCUGGGAGAAAGCAAUUGGAAGAAAUGCAAAGCUCUUCAAAGGAGGCCUAUAAAGUCAUCUUUGUUUUGUUCAUUCUUCUCAUGUUUCUGCAUUCUGGGCAUUCUCCUAAAUUGGGGAGAAACCAAAAUGCCCAGAAGUCAAAUUCUGCAACUGUCAUCAUGCAAAAUGUCAAAUGAGAGAACCAAAGUAUGCUGGAUUCUAUAUUGUUAGGAAGGGAUGGUUAAUUUGAUUGACUCUUGGGAGCUAUUUUUCUAGCAUUAAGUAAUUCUAGGGAACCCUUCUGUGAUCAUCUCUGAGUAAAUAAAGAAGUGAAAUUGCAAUUCAAAUAAUGAAUCAACUUUAAUGCUCUCAUAGAGAAUAUAAGCCAAAUUACAGUGUGAAUUUAAUUGUAAUAUGUCAGAGGCACAUUAUCUCAAUGGCAAUAUUUUCUAAAAUUUCUCUUCUUUUUUUUUUUUUUUUUUUUUUGAGACGGAGUUUUGCUCUUGUCCGCCAGGCUGGAGUGCAAUGGCUUGAUCUUGGCUCACUGCAACCUCCACCCAGGUUCAAGUGAUUCUCCUGCCUCAGCCUCCCAAGUAGCUGGGAUUACAGGCAUCAGCUGCCAUGCCCAGCUAAUUUUUGUAUUUUUAGUAGAGAUGAGGUUUCACCAUAUUGGCCAGGCUGGUCUCAAACUCCUGACCUCAGGUGAUCUGCCUGCCUCGGCCUCCCACAGUGCUGGGAUUACGGCUGUGAGCCACCACUCCCAGCCUAAAAUGUCUCUUCUUACCCAGCUUCCACCUCCAAGCACACAUGCCUCUCACACAUCUGUGAUUUUGUUAUCUAGUACUGAGCCAACAACAAAGCAGAACAUCUAGCACCAACAAAUAUUUAGAUGAUACACUGUUAAAGCAGCUCCCACUAACACCAGAUAGGCUUAGGGGUCAUUUUGCUCUUUAGCAUCUCCCCUACCGAAGCCUGCAGAAAAUUUCUAACCUUAUCUGGUGCCGGUGGGAGCUGAGUUCAACCCCACUAGACAACAGAGUCCCAGAUUGUAUGUCCCAGAUUCAACCUCUGGUUCAUGUCAGAUCUAGCAAGAGUUUGGGGCCACCUUAACUUUUCAACUUGCCAGGGAUAGAAAAUGUGGAUGGCCUUUCCCACUGCUUAUUUAUGUGGGUCAGGUCGCUUCACCUGGGUAGGCUCCCAUUUCCUCACAUCCGCAGGGGUGCGCACUUUCUAGACCAGAGAAUGUGUUUAAACCCCAUGUGACCCUUGAGGAAAAAGCUCUAAUAGUAAAGAAGAUCCUCUGUUUGAAGAGAAGGGCAA